rnacentral:rRNA from 1 species
UAUUUAUUUUAUUAUAUUUAUUUUUUGUUUAUUUAAUUAUUUAAUAAAAAUAAUUUUGUUGAAUUUUGUCUUAGUAUAUUUUGUAGAAUUGAUUUUUUAUAUUAUAGUUUAUUGGUAAUGUAAUUGUUUUAUGAAAUAUUAUUUUAAAUUUUUAAAAGUAGAUUUUAUUUAUUGUACCUUUUGUAUCAGGGUUUAUCAAAAUUUUAGUAUUUACUUUACUUGUCUCGAUUUGGGUUGAUUUAUAAAUAAUUUAUAGUUAAUGUAUCAUAAUUAUUAUUAAAUUAUUUAUAGAAAUGAGAUGUUAACCGUUUCCCAAGAUAUCUAGUUUCUUAAGAAAAAAUUUAAUUUUUAAAAGUUAAUUGUUUUUAUUUAAUUUUUUAAGUAUAAAUAUUAACUUAUUUAUUCUUUAAGGGAUAAGCUUUGAAGUUAAUAACCUAUAAUUUGUUUUAAUAAAAUAUAAUAGUAAGCUUUAAACCAGCUAUCUUUAAGAUUACGUUUUAGUUCAUUAUUUUUAUUUUUGAUUUUAUAACUAUUUUAGGUUUUUUAUUAAGAUUAUAAAUUUAAUUUUUAAAUUUUUGUAAUAAUGAUAGAAUUAGUAUAUUUAUUUGUAUAUAAUUUUUACCUUGUUAAUUUAUUAUAAGGAACUAGGC